rnacentral:rRNA from 1 species
UACGAAGGGGGCUAGCGUUGCUCGGAAUUACUGGGCGUAAAGCGCACGUAGGCGGUCUUUUAAGUCGGGGGUGAAAUCCUGGAGCUCAACUCCAGAACUGCCUUCGAUACUGGAAGACUUGAGUCCGGGAGAGGUGAGUGGAACUGCGAGUGUAGAGGUGAAAUUCGUAGAUAUUCGCAAGAACACCCGUGGCGAAAGCGGCUCUCUGGAACGGUACUGACGCUGAGACGCGAAAGCGUGGGGAGCGAACAGG